GGACGAGUCGCCUUCUGCACCGAGCUCCAGCCCGGCGGAGGCCCUGCCCGCUCCCCCCGGCCGCGAGGGCCCCGGCACUCACUGUGGUGCAGCCAGCUGGUGAAGGUGGAUGGGGCCGUGACCUUCCCCCGGCCUCGAGGACAGGGCUGCCGUCCCCCGCCUCUCCCGGACGGAUGCCAGGGCAGCGGCAGCGGGGGACCACAAGGGACUGGCCGCCCCCAGGGCUGGGACAGAGCUUCCAGAGUUCCCUGAAGACCCGCACCCACGAGCCCGCGACGCCGCGCCGGCUCCAAACGCCGCGUUACCGUGCAGGGGGUGUUCAGCCGGCGCCACAGGCGCCCACCCUCGCGCUUCUCCCAGGUGCCCGUGUCCCCACGGAGCUGCUGGGGAAGCGACGGGCAGAGACCGGAGCCUGCGGCAGCGGCGGCACGGAGCAAAUCGCAUCAGAUGGCAGCGCGGAGUCACUUAAACGAGAUAAGAAUUAGUGCGCGGCCCUGAUGAACUCCCCCUCGGCCGCCAGCAGCGGUGUCAGGGAGAGAGCGAGAGCGGCGCCGGGGCUAAUUUGAUUUCUCGGCUCCGUCAGCGGCUGGCAAGUCACCUCCCGGGGCGCGCAGGCAGCUCCCAGCUCCUUCCCCUUAUUGAAUCUGGGUAAUGAGAAUCACGGGCAGCGCCACAGCGGCGCGGGGGACCCUGCCCCGCUCCGGCCCCUCUCCGUGGGGCGAGCACCGCUCCGGCACAGCCUCUGCUGCAGCAUCAUUACCUCUGGAUCGUCUCCCUUGGGUUUUAUGUCUUCAUCUUAAAGAGAUUUUAAUGUAGUUCCUAUCGGCCCUCCUGUUAUCGGAUAUCUAAUUAAUCUAUUACAGCCUGGUGUUACACGCGCACGGGGGGCUCUUGCGGGACGUUUUGUGGGGCGGCUGAUAUCAAUCGGCAGCGCCCGGAUCAGAUUUACUUUCCGAAAUGGCGUAAUGGGAUUUUAUUAGCCCUGUAAUCUGCUGCGCGGUAAUUGCUUUUCUGGGAAUCGAAGCGUUUGGCGCCGGGGGCUUCCCGGGGCCCAGCCGCGUGUCCUGCCCAGGCUCUGCCGCAGCAGCAGCAGCUCCGCGCGGGGAUGGAGGGAUGGAGACCUUCCCCGAGGCCAGAAGCAGCUGCGGGGCUGCCGGGGGAGACACAUGUCCCCUGGCACGUGGGAUGUCGCAGGCAGCUGAGCCCCCGUCCCUGUUUGCCUGUGUCCCAUUAGCUCCUGGAGACAAUUUUCUAGCUUUUCUAGGGCUUUUCCCUCGGGCAGCCGCCCUGGGAGCAGGUACUUUGGCUGGGCGCGCGUAGUGAACUUCAGCUGGUGCAUAGCCAGGAGCGAUGGUGGUCUCGGAGGCUGGGGAGGGCACAGGAGCACGGGCACAAGGUCCCUGCGGUGGGACGGGAUGAGGGAUGCUCAGCAUGCCCCCCCGUCCGCGACGGAACGAGCGAUGCUCAGCGUCCCCCUCUGUGAGGGGACCGGCGAUGCUCAGCAUCCCCCAUCUCCCCAGCCUGCCCGUACCGGGAGGGUGACCGAGCCGUGCGGGUGUUCUUUCCGCGGCAGCGUUGGCCUCGGCAGCCCCAGUCCCUGUGCCCUGGGAUGUGCCGGGGGCUGUGGGGGCUUUGGCAGGCGCCCACCCGGCUCAGUGCAGGAUGGCGACCAGGGACGGAGGCCUCAGCUGCAGCGGCUGCCCGGGGGGAGCCGGCAGGGGAGGGCAGCAGCUCCUCCGGGCUGCCAGGACUCGCCUUUCCGAGCGCGUUUGGAGCGUCAAAAGCAAUAAAGCAUCGCGCAGGAGCCCUGGCAGCGCGGCUGCCUGCCGGCCCCGGCCCCAUCACGCGCCCACGGCCGCCCAUUACGGAGCCCGGCGCUGCCCCGAAUUGCAUGUCUGCUGUGAUUUAACGCUGCGAGACAUGCAAUAAACGCCGGGCGUGGGCAGGGCUGCCAGCAGCCCCUCACGCCGGCGGGGCGCGGGACCCUCAGUGGGGGUAGGAGAGCGAGCCCUCUCCCACGGGCGGUGGUCCUUGGGGAUGCUCAGGGGCCCCGGGGGUACGCGGGGUCUCUCCCCCGGCACAACCUUGUGCGGCUCCACAUCGAAGCAGGGACCAGAGCAGGUGCUGGGUGCUGCGCCCACGGCUCAUGUAAUCGCUGCCGAGGGUUGGUGGGGCGCUGGUGGCUUCGCAGGUGCCGAGCCCACCCGCACCGCACCAGCAAAGGAGCCUUUAAACCCCCCGGCGAAGGGAAGGGAGCGCUUCCCUCGCCGUCCUCUCCUCCAUUAGACACCCUUCAGGUGUUAGCAAUAUUCUGCCGCCGUUCCGUUCUCCAUUAAAGCCAGGUAAUAACAACUACGGGACGGUAUUUGCAGCCCAUUGCUGCUAAUGAAGGAGCUCCAGCUCGUCCCGAGCGGGUACGGCAGCCACGCAUCGCAGGCACCAUCUCACCCUGGGUUAGGCAGAACUGCCUUGCUGAGAGCGGACCCGACCGGUGUUCAGUCUUGUGAGACCGUCUUUUCCUUUUUCUCUUUAUUUUUUAAAGGAGGCCCGUGCCGGAGCAGGAGAGGGGGGCUGGGCUCCGGCCUCGUGCCGUCUUCUGGGCAGAGACCCCAUCCCGGGGGCAGGUUUGCAGAGGGACCGUGCCCGCACCGGCUGCCUUUCUGUAAAAACCUCAUGUCUGCCUUCCUCCCCUUUCACCCCAGCUCUUCUGCGGCGGCUCUAGCUUUUAAGCAGUAUUUCCAAUCAGAAACCACAGCUCUUCCAGCCUGGGUUUUAAUAAAACCACGCUGGCCAUCACAGUAGGAUAUUUUUCCCUUCAUUUUCCAAAGAAAAUGAGAAAGAUUUCAAGCAAAUUGGAAAGGUUAAUUUGGGCCGAAAAGGCUCUUAGCUUUUGAUGUAAAGCACCUGAAAAAGUCUCGCAGAAAAGCCUCCUCCCUCUUGUUUCCGUUGGAGUUGAACGCGCAGCCGGGCUCUGCCCAGGGGCCAGGGGUCCCAGCCCUGCCGGCGCCUAUCCGAAGUCCAAGCCCUGGUCAAGAAGCUCCGGCAAACGAAGCCAUCCUGCUUCCAGGAGCGACACGGGCAGGGGAGCUGCUCUGUGGGUGGUGGGGCAAGAGGGCUGAGCCGGGGGUGGUCCUGGUCCAGGGAUGCUGUUGGUCCAGGGGAUGCUCCCAGUCCAGGGAUGCUGUUGGUCCAGGGGAUGCUCCCAGUGCAGGGAUGCUCUCAGUGCAGGGAUGGCUCCCAGUGCAGGGGUGCUUUUGGUCCAGGGGAUGCUCCCAGUCCAGGGAUGCUCUCGGUGCAGGGAUGCUCUCGGUGCAGGGGACGCUGUUGGUGCAGGGAUGCUCCCGGUCCAGGGAGGGAAGGCAGAGCCAGACGCAGAGCCAGGCAGCAGCAGCGCUGGAGAGGUCAGACAGUGUCGCACAAGGUGUGGGGACGGCCCUGGAGGGGACGGUGGCCGGAGCCAGGCUGGGAGCGCACGGUGCUCGGCUGUGCGCAGGGUGCUGCCGGUGCCCAGGGAGCUGUGCAGGGUGUCGAGGGGAAGGUGAACAUCUCCAGGCUGCCCCUGGCCAUCGCGUCCCGACCACCCCAUGGCGAGAGUCGCACAGGGCAGCAGGGGUCUGUGGGUGCCUGUUUCUGGGUGCGGAGCUCGAGAUAGAGCCGGGCAUGAGAACCGGAGGGCAGGGGUUUUGCUAAAGGGGAGGUGAAAACUUCCCGCUGCUUGUGUUUAAGAACAGGAACGGGACCCUCGCGAGGAAACCACAAAGGUGCUGUGCCUGGCAUCGUGGGUGACCUGACACGGAGCCGGGAUGAGACCGAGGGGCAGCGAAAUCCUCAUCCCGCCGCUGAGGCUGGAACUCCAGCACCCGCAAUGCAAAUCGCUUCCUUUUGCUAAGACAAGGCUGUGAGGAACAUCUCGGGACACGGAAGAAGCGGGGUGAGGGCAGAUCUUCAGCUCCUUCUUCCUCUGAGGGCGCAGGACCCCCCCUGCAGUAAAUUAUCUUUGGUGUAGCGGCGCUCUGACUGCGCCUGACGCUGCCAACGAACCGCCAGUAUCUGUCCUGCACCCUAAUUAGUCACUGCGGCUUUAAUCAGGCUGCUAAACGUCAUACGCACUCUCGGCAAACCAGGAGGUAAAAAUACAAGGCUGAGUUUAUCUUCGUAACCAGGACGUUCAGAAUUUUUAUGGUAAAUUAAUACAUUUUUUAAGGUGGGGAAAUCCCUGGGGAGCCUUUCCCGGGCAGGGAGCUCCGGCCAGGGGGCAGAGAUGGGGUCCCAGCACACUGGGACCAUGGGGCAGACCGCGGUGACCAGCAUCGCUCCCCUCCCUCUGGCUGUUUGGUGGCCUCUGGGCUCCCAAAAUGGGAGUUUCUUACCUUGCGUUUAGACUUUGCCGGGUGUCUUGGUUUUUUUCUUUGCAUAUCAGGGAAAUUGGAUAACAACGCCGCCGGCUCGCUCGGAGUUAUUUUAUCAACGCUCCUCCUCCUCCUCCUCCUGCUUGCCCUCUCGCCUCCUGAAUUCCCGAGCUGGAGCACCUGUGGGAACCUGGGAGCCCAGAGGAUCCCGGGGAGGGCAGCGGUGGAAUUCCCACCCCUCUUCCCAAAACAAAAGGCAAGGGAUGCUGCGUGGCUGCCCAGGGAGAAACCCAGGGAAAGGGCGCUUUGACUCGGGAAUUAGCAAAUGGGGGGGUUGCGGUGGCAUCGCCCGACCCUUUCAGCCCCCGCUCCCGCAGCGCCUGGGGACGCUGAGGCCAGCGUGGGUGCCUUGGGUGCCCGGCGGGGAGAGAGCGGCCGGGCAGCGGCGAGUGACACCUUUCUGGGGGUGCAGAGUGACGUUUUACCUGCCAUCCCCCAGGGAGCUUGGGCUCGGCCACGUUGUCACGUCCCCCCGCGGCGUCCCGCUCCCCGACGGCGUCGCAGCCCUGCGGAUCCCCCUGCAGCCCCCCCACAGCCCCAUCUCCGCUUCGGGCCUGGGGUCGUUUUAUUGAGAGAAAGGUGACGUCUGGGCUGUGUCUGCACGAGGAUGCGAAGGGAACGGCGCUUGGUGCCCCUUGGCUCGGCACACCUGGAAAAUGCCCAUUUUCUGCCAAUUUACCCCAGGCCCCAGAAGGCGGGGGCUUGGGCCAGGCGACGAGCAGGCGACUGGCCCCCUCUGUUGUUAUGAACCGUUUCUUCACAGUUUUCGCCCAGGGCACGAGCACCCAGGCCCCAGGGCUCCCGGGUUUGGUGGCUGGUGCGGCUGCCAGGGGCAGGAGUCGUUAAAAUAGCUAUUUAUUAGCACUUCUGCACAGAAAAGGGGGCUGGGGAGCGCCUCCGCAAAGCCGGCACCCCCAGCGUUGAAACAGCCAUCCAUUUAUACGUUACCAAUUAGCAUAAUUAACCAUAUUCAUUGUUUUGCAAGUUUUCGCCGGUGCUCAUAAUUCCUUUUCUGGAAGCCGGCUGGCGUCUUCAAUUAGGAGGUGUCCUCAAUUAGAAGGUGUCCUCCUCGUCAAUGAAAGGUAGGGUGCCGCUUAACUUUAGGGCGCGGGCUGGGUGGGUGAAGGUCCCCCGGCGCAGGGGGGUGUCCCCGCUUCGAGAGGGGGGUCGUGUUGUAG